AAGGGCACCACAAGAACGCGUGGAGCAUGUGGCUUAAUUUGACUCAACGCGGGAACUCUUACCGGGUCCGGACAUACUGAGGAUUGACAGGUUGUUGUAGUUCUCCUUUUUAGGAGUUCUACUUAAAAUAUGCUAGUCCUUUCAUGAUUGUGUGAUAGGUGGUGCAUGGCCGUUCUUAGUUCGUGGAGUGAUUUGUCUGCUUAAUUGCGUUUCAUAAAAAGGACUUAAUUUUCAUCGCUUCGUUUACCUUGCGCUUAGCCCUGGUUAUAUGAUCGUCUGCUAUUUUGGGUUAAGAGUGUGUAGCUCUGUACUUUUUUAAAGACUAUAGCAGUCUGACUCAGCAUUUACUUGCUUCGAUGUCGACUGUUUGUUUUUUCUGUGUGCAUUGCUCCACUCUUUUCCCUUUGUGCGAUUUGUAUCUAUUUCCAUUCAAUGGGUUUUGCGUCUAUGGUCGAGUGAUUGAUUUUAUACAAGUCCUGAAGGCAACGAACGUGACCGCACCCUCUUGUUGCAUCCUUUCACAUUACACGUGUAACCAACUUGUUUGGUUUAUCGGAUGCUAACUAGAGGGACCGCUGACAACUUUUAAAACAGAGGAAGGUAGCGGCAAUAACAGGUCUGUGAUGCCCUCAGAUGUUCCGGGCUGCACACGUGCUACAAUGAUUGUUGCAGUAGGCAUCUUUCAUUUAACACACAUAGGUGUUUGUGCUUUAUCUGAACUAUGGCUUUUUUUAGCUUGUGUUCGAUAACACAUUCCCUAUUGGCAACCUACUUCGAAAGUCCAGUAGGUAACCAAUUCGAAGUAACGAUUUCCCCUUGCACAUAUCUCAUGUUUCCUUGUUUGUAGUCUUGUUGCUGCUCUGUUCAGUAUACAUUGUUUCUACCUUGGAACAUGUGCUCCUUUAAUUCGUGGUGGGGACAGACCAUUGUUAAUUGUUGGUCUCGGUCUCAACUAGGAAUGCCUUGUACGGGUUGGUUCAACAAACCACCCGGAAUAUGUCCCUGCCCUUUGUACACACCGCCCGUC
rnacentral:rRNA from 1 species